rnacentral:rRNA from 1 species
GCUAUACAUGCAAGUCGAGCGGACAGAAGGGAGCUUGCUCCCGGAUGUUAGCGGCGGACGGGUGAGUAACACGUGGGUAACCUGCCUGUAAGACUGGGAUAACUCCGGGAAACCGGAGCUAAUACCGGAUAGUUCCUUGAACCGCAUGGUUCAAGGAUGAAAGACGGUUUCGGCUGUCACUUACAGAUGGACCCGCGGCGCAUUAGCUAGUUGGUGAGGUAACGGCUCACCAAGGCGACGAUGCGUAGCCGACCUGAGAGGGUGAUCGGCCACACUGGGACUGAGACACGGCCCAGACUCCUACGGGAGGCAGCAGUAGGGAAUCUUCCGCAAUGGACGAAAGUCUGACGGAGCAACGCCGCGUGAGUGAUGAAGGUUUUCGGAUCGUAAAGCUCUGUUGUUAGGGAAGAACAAGUGCAAGAGUAACUGCUUGCACCUUGACGGUACCUAACCAGAAAGCCACGGCUAACUACGUGCCAGCAGCCGCGGUAAUACGUAGGUGGCAAGCGUUGUCCGGAAUUAUUGGGCGUAAAGGGCUCGCAGGCGGUUUCUUAAGUCUGAUGUGAAAGCCCCCGGCUCAACCGGGGAGGGUCAUUGGAAACUGGGAAACUUGAGUGCAGAAGAGGAGAGUGGAAUUCCACGUGUAGCGGUGAAAUGCGUAGAGAUGUGGAGGAACACCAGUGGCGAAGGCGACUCUCUGGUCUGUAACUGACGCUGAGGAG